GAUGAACGCUGGCGGCGUGCCUAAUACAUGCAAGUCGAGCGAACGGACGAGAAGCUUGCUUCUCUGAUGUUAGCGGCGGACGGGUGAGUAACACGUGGAUAACCUACCUAUAAGACUGGGAUAACUUCGGGAAACCGGAGCUAAUACCGGAUAAUAUUUUGAACCGCAUGGUUCAAAAGUGAAAGACGGUCUUGCUGUCACUUAUAGAUGGGUCCGCGCUGCAUUAGCUAGUUGGUAAGGUAACGGCUUACCAAGGCAACGAUGCAUAGCCGACCUGAGAGGGUGAUCGGCCGCACUGGAACUGAGACACGGUCCAGACUCCUACGGGAGGCAGCAGUAGGGAAUCUUCCGCAAUGGGCGAAAGCCUGACGGAGCAACGCCGCGUGAGUGAUGAAGGUCUUCGGAUCGUAAAACUCUGUUAUUAGGGAAGAACAUAUGUGUAAGUAACUGUGCACAUCUUGACGGUACCUAAUCAGAAAGCCACGGCUAACUACGUG
rnacentral:rRNA from 1 species